rnacentral:rRNA from 1 species
GCUUACGGCCAUACCACCCUGAACACGCCCGAUCUCGUCCGAUCUCGGAAGCUAAGCAGGGUCGGGCCUGGUUAGUACUUGGAUGGGAGACCGCCUGGGAAACCAGGUGCUGUAAGCU